rnacentral:lncRNA from 1 species
GAUUGUAGAUAAGAUUUUGGUGUACUACAGCACAGAAAGUAAACAUAAUUUGUUAAUCAAAAUGAUUUUACAUCUAUUACAUUGAUGGAAAAUAUACAAUAAGAAGAAAAAUGAGACUACGUCAAUUAUAAUACCAAUAUAUUUUUGCGAUUCUUCAAA